GACGAACGCUGGCGGCGUGCCUAAUACAUGCAAGUAGAACGCAGUUGCGAACGGGUGAGUAACGCGUAGGUAACCUGCCUCAUAGCGGGGGAUAACUAUUGGAAACGAUAGCUAAUACCGCAUACUGUGAGAUGGACCUGCGUUGUAUUAGCUAGUUGGUGAGGUAAAGGCUCACCAAGGCGACGAUCCAUAGCCGACCUGAGAGGGUGAUCGGCCACACUGGGCCUGAGACACGGCCCAGACUCCUACGGGAGGCAGCAGUAGGGAAUCUUCGGCAAUGGGCGCAAGCCUGAUGCAGCCAUGCCGCGUGUAUGAAGAAGGCCUUCGGAUUGUAAAAUUCUUUCAGCGGGGAAGCGUUACCCACAGAAGAAGCACCGGCUAACUCCGUGCCAGCAGCCGCGGUAAUAC
rnacentral:rRNA from 1 species